AACGAACGCUGGCGGCAGGCUUAACACAUGCAAGUCGAACGCUCACCUUCGGGUGGGAGUGGCAGACGGGUGAGUAACGCGUGGGAACGUACCCUUUGGUUCGGAAUAACCCAGGGAAACUUGGGCUAAUACCGGAUACGCCCUUCGGGGGAAAGGUUUACUGCCGAAGGAUCGGCCCGCGUCGGAUUAGCUAGUUGGUGGGGUAAAAGCCUACCAAGGCGACGAUCCGUAGCUGGUCUGAGAGGAUGAUCAGCCACACUGGGACUGAGACACGGCCCAGACUCCUACGGGAGGCAGCAGUGGGGAAUAUUGGACAAUGGGCGCAAGCCUGAUCCAGCCAUGCCGCGUGAGUGAAGAAGGCCUUAGGGUUGUAAAGCUCUCUCAGCGGGGAAGAUAAUGACGGUACCCGCAGAAGAAGCCCCGGCUAACUUCGUGCCAGCAGCCGCGGUAAUACGAAGGGGGCUAGCGUUGUUCGGAAUUACUGGGCGUAAAGCGCGCGUAGGCGGGUGAUUAAGUCAGGGGUGAAAUGCCGAGGCUCAACCUCGGAACUGCCUUUGAUACUGGUCGCCUGGAGUUCGGGAGAGGUAAGUGGAAUUCCGAGUGUAGAGGUGAAAUUCGUAGAUAUUCGGAGGAACACCAAAAGCGAAGGCGGCUUACUGGCCCGAUACUGACCCUGAGG
rnacentral:rRNA from 1 species